CAUUCAGCGCGAUUUUCUAAAGCCCUUCCUCUGCCAGGGGCCUAGGGCUUUACUCUGGCCGAGGGAAAAAGAAGAAGAAGAAGAAGAAAUUCACUGUUUAUUUUACUAGUCGGAUCAUGAUUUUCAUAGAUUAGCAGAAGAAUUUCCAGCUUCAAUGGCGGAAGGAAAGCAUUCCAAUGCUGUCUUCAACUCUUGCAAUGGUGAAAAUUUCCUCCAAAUGUACGAUCAACAGCACCAGAUUGAUUUGCGGAGUGAAUUGGAAGAAGGGAAUGUGGAUAGUACAGGAAGUGAAAAGAAGCAUUCGCAAACAAUUCGUUGGAGACGUUUCUUGGGAGACCACUGAAGAGGAGUUUAAGGACUACUCUUUCUUUUGGUAGAAUUAUCGAGCAUCAAAUCAUGAUAGAUUUUAAAAUGAAGCCGUCUAGAGGAUUUGGAUUUAUCACUUUUGAGAGAGAAGAUGCAGUAGAAAACAGGUUAAGAGAAGUUGGUCACAUGAGAUGGCAGACUAAUCACAUGGAUUUCAAAACCUUCCCACAUGAAUUAGUGCCAAAUCCAAAACAGUUUCAACAGAUUGAAAAAGAAAAAGUAAAAAGAAAUAUUUUAUUUAGUUGCCAAUUGGGUUACCAAAAAAGGUUAAAUUAUUUGAGCUUUUUUCAGGCUCCAAGCACGGAGUUUUGUGAUGGUUGCACUCUCUGUUCCAUUGUUGAAAGCAUAGAGACCAGCUUUGUCUCCAAUCGCCAACUUUGGAUACGCUCUGGGAUUACUUUUGUUGUGUGUUUUGGGGUGGCUGAAGGUCGGGAUCGAGUUUCCUUGGUGACCCAGACUUCGACCGCCCUUUGUGGGUCGUGUGCGAACGAAAACUCCGCUAUUUUUUUAAUUAUUAUUUUUUUUUUAUCCGAUCCGUUACAUCACAUAUGAAAGUUAUAAUUUUCCUCAACACCUUCUAUUGGAAAGGAGAAGAAAGUUAUAGAGAGCAAGAGAUGGGGGCGGGGAUCCCUUGGUUCCUUGCGAAGAACUUUCUCUGUUUUCAAUAAUGUCCCGGUUUAGCUAACAAAGAGAAAACUCUUUCAACACCUUCCUCUACUUUCUGUCUUAUUUGGGACGAAUUUUUGUAUGGUUUCGACCCCUCUCAGAGUAUGCUAACUCAUAUUUAGAUAUCGAAG